ensembl:snoRNA
AAGCACUCAGGGUCAUACCUGGAGAGUUUCCGAUACUCUACCAGUCUUGGCUACAGGAGGGAGAGUCAAGCAGAGGCCUACCCAUUCCAUUCCUAGCUUGGGCAGUGGCUGGCAAGUGGAAGGCAACCUGCUACAAGU